UACGAAGGGUGCAAGCGUUAAUCGGAAUUACUGGGCGUAAAGAGCUCGUAGGCGGUGUGUCGCGUCGGCCGUGAAAACCUGGGGCUUAACUCUGGGCGUGCGGUCGAUACGGGCAUCACUAGAGUUCGGCAGGGGAGACUGGAAUUCCUGGUGUAGCGGUGAAAUGCGCAGAUAUCAGGAGGAACACCGGUGGCGAAGGCGGCUCUCUGGGCCUUACCUGACGCUGAGGAGCGAAAGCGUGGGUAGCGAACAGG
rnacentral:rRNA from 1 species